UGAUGAGGUCGGGUCGUUGUUUAUACAUCAGGCAGUCUAAUCGCUUAUCAAAACCUGACCGGACCGGUAGGACAUCUUCAGAAGGUUUGAAAUAGUUGUUUAAGACAAGAACACUUUUUCCUGGUGAGCUGACACUCUUAACCGGACAGAUGUCACUGUGGUCCAAACGAGAAUUUAUCUCCCCUGGGGGACACAACCCCAUCAUCUCAGUCUCUUGAGUGAGCUGCGUGUUGUUCAUAUAAAAGCAUAUGCUUGUAUCUCCUGCUGUGAUGCAGCUCUUCUUUUAAGCAGACUUGCGAGUGUGAUUACACCGGAGAUCAUCGCCUAAUUCCACAGCACUUCAGCUCACCUGGACAGGCCGGUAAUUGCUGGUAGACUUCAAAACUAUCUGACCUGCCCGUCAGAUACAGAUCAGCGUCAAACUCGAGACACGUCACACUCAUGUCUUGUUCCUCGAGAAAAGACAAACUCAUCACUGAAGAGAGAGAGAGAGAGAGAGAUAGAGAGAGAUUCCAAAGCAGGCCGGCAACUACGUGAAAAUGGCUAUCUUGGAGGUUUGAAGCGGCAGGUGUCCAGCUCAAGCACGCAUUGUGUUUCGGACGGCACAGUGGAAGACAUUAGUAUUCAGGAUGGCUGGUGCGGGUCGCUCCCUUGUUCCCGCAGCAGGCAGGUUUGUAUUAGCAGACUGUCGAGAAGCAAACCUCAUCUCUGGGGAGCGAGUCGAGACCAGACGCCCUGCUGCUGCUGCAUGUGAAAUCAGCCCCGUUCUGCACCGGAUCACAGCGUUUGGAUCUGCUCGAAGUCUCAGUGCUGAAAUGACCUGCAUCUGCAGACAGAAAGAGCUUAGGAUGUGCUUGAUGUUUCUGUACUGAACCUCCAGCGUUGAGGCUCAGAGCUUCUGAUCCAAAACACACGCUAAACUAUUAUCUGUUCUAGUCUUUUUUUUGUAUCUGUCAUUUUGUCAUUCAAUCUAGUUCUGAGUAUCUG